GCAAGUUCAUAAGAGCAAACGGUGAAUGCCUUGGCAUCUGGAGCCGAAGAAGGACGUCGUAAUCUGCGAUAAGCCUCGGGGAGCUGAUAAACGAGCUGUGAUCCGAGGAUUUCCGAAUGGGGAAACCCCGCCAGGCCCCUUGUGGUGACCUGGUGACUCCCGCCUGAAUAUAUAGGGCGGGUAGAGGGAACGUGGGGAAGUGAAACAUCUCAGUACCCACAGGAAGAGAAAACAACAGUGAUUCCGUCAGUAGUGGCGAGCGAACGCGGAAGAGGCUAAACCGAGUCAUGUGUGAUACCCGGCAGGGGUUGCAUGGCCGGGGUUGUGGGACUUUUCGUUCCGGUCUGCCGGCCGGUGAACGUUACAGCGCAUCAUAGACGAACAGGUUUGAACGCCUGGCCAGAGCGGGUGCGAGCCCCGUAGUCGAAAUGGUGUUAUGGCGUGAGGAGUAUCCCAAGUAGCACGGGGCCCGAGAAAUCCCGUGUGAAUCUGUCAGGACCACCUGAUAAGCCUAAAUACUCCCAGAUGACCGAUAGCGGACAAGUACCGUGAGGGAAAGGUGAAAAGUACCCCGGGAGGGGAGUGAAAUAGUACCUGAAACCGUUUGCUUACAAACCGUCGGAGCCUCCUUGUAGGGGUGACGGCGUGCCUUUUGAAGAAUGAGCCUGCGAGUUAGUGCUCUGUGGCGAGGUUAACCCGUGUGGGGCAGCCGUAGCGAAAGCGAGUCCGAAUAGGGCGAUUCAGUCGCAGGGUCUAGACCCGAAGCGAAGUGAUCUAUCCAUGGCCAGGUUGAAGCGACGGUAAGACGUCGUGGAGGACCGAACCCACUUCAGUUGAAAAUGGAGGGGAUGAGCUGUGGAUAGGGGUGAAAGGCCAAUCAAACUUCGUGAUAGCUGGUUCUCUCCGAAAUGCAUUUAGGUGCAGCGUUGCGUGUUUCUUGCCGGAGGUAGAGCUACUGGAUGGCCGAUGGGGCCCAAAAGCUUACUGACGUCAGCCAAACUCCGAAUGCCGGUAAGUGAGAGCGCAGCAGUGAGACUGUGGGGGAUAAGCUUCAUAGUCGAGAGGGAAACAACCCAGACCACCAACUAAGGUCCCUAAGCGCGUGCUAAGUGGGAAAGGAUGUGGAGUUGCACAGACAACCAGGAGGUUGGCUUAGAAGCAGCCACCCUUGAAAGAGUGCGUAAUAGCUCACUGGUCAAGUGAUUCCGCGCCGACAAUGUAACGGGGCUCAAGCACGCCACCGAAGUUGUGGCAUUGACAUUAGUGGUAGGCCUUCGUGGUCCAGCCGUGUUGAUGGGUAGGAGAGCGUCGUGUGGCGAGUGAAGCGGCGGUGUGAACCAGCCGUGGAUGCCACACGAGUGAGAAUGCAGGCAUGAGUAGCGAAAGACGGGUGAGAAACCCGUCCUCCGGAAGACCAAGGGUUCCAGGGUCAAGCUAAUCUUCCCUGGGUAAGUCGGGACCUAAGGCGAGGCCGACAGGCGUAGUCGAUGGACAACGGGUUGAUAUUCCCGUACCGGCGAAGAACCGCCCAAGACAAUCCAGUAGUGCUAAGUAUCUGAAUCCCUUUGAUGGAUCCCUUCGGGGUGAAGCGUUGGGCCUAGCGUACGACCCCGUGCUGGUGCGUUUAGCGUAUUAACAGGUGUGACGCAGGAAGGUAGCCGAGCCGGGCGAUGGUUGUCCCGGUCUAAGGAUGUAGGGCGAACGAUAGGCAAAUCCGUCGUUCAUAUAGCCUGAGAUCUGAUGGGUAGACGCAAGUCGAAAUCGGUGAUCCUAUGCUGCCAAGAAAAGCAUCGACGCGAGGUUCUAGCUGCCCGUACCCCAAACCGACUCAGGUGGUCAGGUAGAGAAUACUAAGGAGAUCGAGAGAAUCGUGGUUAAGGAACUCGGCAAAAUGCCCCCGUAACUUCGGGAGAAGGGGGGCCUGAGGCGUGAACGGACUUGCUCCGGGAGCGUUCGAUGGCCGCAGAGACCAGUGGGAAGCGACUGUUUACUAAAAACACAGGUCCGUGCUAAGUCGCAAGACGAUGUAUACGGACUGACGCCUGCCCGGUGCUGGAAGGUUAAGAGGAACGGUUAGCCGCAAGGCGAAGCUGAGAAUUUAAGCCCCAGUAAACGGCGGUGGUAACUAUAACCAUCCUAAGGUAGCGAAAUUCCUUGUCGGGUAAGUUCCGACCUGCACGAAUGGCGUAACGACUUCCCAGCUGUCUCAACCGCGAACUCGGCGAAAUUGCAUUACGAGUAAAGAUGCUCGUUACGCGCAGCAGGACGGAAAGACCCCGUGACCUUUACUAUAGUUUGGUAUUGGUGUUCGGUGUGGCUUGUGUAGGAUAGGUGGGAGACGUUGAAGCGGGCACGCUAGUGUUCGUGGAGUCAUUGUUGAAAUACCACUCUGGUCACUCUGGAUAUCUAACUUCGGACCCUAAUCGGGU
rnacentral:rRNA from 1 species